GAUGAACGCUGGCGGCGUGCCUAAUACAUGCAAGUCGAGCGAACGGACGAGAAGCUUGCGUCUCUGAUGUUAGCGGCGGACGGGUGAGUAACACGUGGAUAACCUACCUAUAAGACUGGGAUAACUUCGGGAAACCGGAGCUAAUACCGGUUGAUAUUUUGAACCGCAUGGUUCAAAAGUGAAAGACGGUCUUGCUGUAACUGAGAGAUGGAUCCGCGCUGCAUUAGCUAGUUGGUAAGGUAACGGCUUACCAAGGCAACGAUGCAUAGCCGACCUGAGAGGGUGAUCUGCCACACUGGAACUGAGCCACCUUCCAGACUCCUACGGGAGGCACCAGUAGGCAAUCUUCCGCAAUGCGCGAAAGCCUGACGGAGCAACGCCGCCUGAGUGAUGAAGGCCUUCCGAUCCUAAAACUCUGUUAUUAGGGAAGAACAUAUGUGUACGUAACUGUGCACUUCUUGACGGUACCUAAUCAGAAAGCCACUGCUAACUACGUG
rnacentral:rRNA from 1 species